CUUGAGCUGUAGGCGCGGAGGGCCGGAGACGCUGCAGACCCGCGACCCGGAGCAGCUCGGAGGCGGUGAAGUCGGUGGCUUUCCUUCUCUCUAGCUCUCGCUCGCUGGUGGUGCUUCAGAUGCCACACGCGUCCCGGGGGCCCGGUUCUCCGCUCCCCUCCCCUCCCCUUCUCGCCGGACCCCGCGCCGGGAGCUGCGGGAAGGAGUGGAGGGUCGGGCGGUGGCCUCGCGGCUGGCCUGGCGCGCGGCCAGCGCCGGUAGUUAGUGGGGGGACUGCUCUGCCCUCGAGGGGGUAGGGAGCUGUGGCGACGGUUGCCCCAUUUCGAGACAAAGCGCAUUUCCCCCUCCCCUCCCCCACCCGCGUUCCGGCGGAGGCGCCCCCUCCCCCAGCCGCCACGCGGGGCUGGGUCGAGACUUGGGCCUCCCGGAGGGCGGCGCGUGGUCCCGCGUCCGCGAGGCCUGGCGGCGCGCGGCCGGCUGUCCCGAGGCUGCGGCGACCGCCCAGUUAACGUGGCCGCCGCGGGGGUAGGCGCGUGCGGUGUGGCGCAGUGCCCUUGAGCCCCCGUGCCGCGGCCUUUGUUUCUCCCCGCGGAUGCGCUGACCACGAGGCCCGCGCUCCCGGGUGGGGGCGGGCACCCGCGCUUAGGCCUCUGGACGCCGGGCUUCAGCGGCGGGGGUCGGGAGCGGGUGUUUGCAAGAGGUGAUUCUUUUUUCAAAGUGUCACGAAACGGGGUUGAAGCAUCUUAAGUUUUUUCCUUUUGUUAUUUAAUUACCGAUUGGAAAGAGGGAGGGUUUCUGAGCAGAAACCAAGUUGGGAUUGCAGAACAGAGAAGAUUCACAGUGCUUUACCGUUUAAUAGCUCUUCAAGUCUGCAAUAAAAAAUGGCCUCCAACAAAACUACAUUGCAAAAAAUGGGAAAAAAACAGAAUGGAAAGAGUAAAAAAGUUGAAGAGGCAGAGCCUGAAGAAUUUGUCGUGGAAAAAGUACUAGAUCGACGUGUAGUGAAUGGGAAAGUGGAAUAUUUCCUGAAGUGGAAGGGAUUUACAGAUGCUGACAAUACUUGGGAAC
rnacentral:lncRNA from 1 species